AAGGCGAGGCCGAAAGGCGUAGUCGAUGGGAAAAUGGUUAAUAUUCCAUUACUUCUGUGUAAUGCGAUGAGAGGACGGAGAAGGCUAAAUCAGCCUGGCGUUGGUUGUCCAGGUGAAAGGAUGUAGGCAUGUAUCUUAGGCAAAUCCGGGGUACUCUAUGCUGAGAUCUGAUAGCAAGCUGUACUUGUACAGCGAAGUGGUUGAUGCCAUGCUUCCAGGAAAAGUCUCUAAGCUUCAGUUACACAGGAAUCGUACCCGAAACCGACACAGGUGGUCAGGUCGAGUAGACCAAGGCGCUUGAGAGAACUCUGCUGAAGGAACUAGGCAAAAUGGUACCGUAACUUCGGGAGAAGGUACGCUGUUGUUGGUGAUGGAACUCGCUUCCUGAGCUGACGACAGCCGCAGAAACCAGGCCGCUGCAACUGUUUAUUAAAAACAUAGCACUCUGCAAACACGAAAGUGGACGUAUAGGGUGUGAUGCCUGCCCGGUGCUGGAAGGUUAAUUGAUGGGGUUAGCGUAAGCGAAGCUCUUGAUCGAAGCCCCAGUAAACGGCGGCCGUAACUAUAACGGUCCUAAGGUAGCGAAAUUCCUUGUCGGGUAAGUUCCGACCUGCACGAAUGGCAUAAUGAUGGCGGCGCUGUCUCCAGCAGAGGCUCAGUGAAAUCGAAAUCGCUGUGAAGAUGCAGUGUACCCGCGGCUAGACGGAAAGACCCCGUGAACCUUUACUGCAGCUUGACACUGAACUUUGACCUUACUUGUGUAGGAUAGGUGGGAGGCUUUGAAGCUGGAACGCUAGUUCCAGUGGAGCCGUCCUUGAAAUACCACCCUGGUAAUGUUGA
rnacentral:rRNA from 1 species